rnacentral:lncRNA from 1 species
UUCCAGCUAUGCUUGAAGCCCAUGACAUGCUUUAUCCUUUCGCUAGCACAUAUUUCCAUGACUUCAUUGAAUAUGGGAUCAUUUUUACUCCUCGUGUAAUCCAAAUCUACUCAUUGUGCCUCAUGAGUGAUCUUGGACUUCUUUAGAAUAAUUGUGGUAUAGAAAUCCUGCUGAAAAGAACUCCAAAAUCUAUAAUCAUGAGCGGUUCUAGGCACACUAUAGGGAUCCUCCCUCCUUAGCUUCUUAGCUGCCUCGGUCAUGCCAUCCCCAAAAUAAUUUGUAGGCCCUCUGUGAUAGGAUAGGGUGGCCUAAGAAUUAUGAGUAUCUCAAGGUUAUCAUCUCCAUCAUCAUUAUCAUCACCAUCAUCACCAUCUCCACCAUCAUCACCAUC